CGGCGGACGGGUGAGUAACGCGUGGGCAACCUGCCUUAUACAGGGGGAUAACAGUUAGAAAUGACUGCUAAUACCGCAUAAGCGCACAGGAACGCAUGUUCCGGUGUGAAAAACUCCGGUGGUAUAAGAUGGGCCCGCGUCUGAUUAGGUAGUUGGUGGGGUAGCAGCCUACCAAGCCGACGAUCAGUAGCCGACCUGAGAGGGUGACCGGCCACAUUGGGACUGAGACACGGCCCAAACUCCUACGGAAGGCAGCAG
rnacentral:rRNA from 1 species